CCACCCCUGGAAGGUCCGUGUGCCCAAGGGGAGUCAGGCCUGGCCUGCAGUGCGGGCCUCUCCCAACACCUGUUUCUUGUCCCCCCAGACCUCGGCCCCCUGACCAGCACCUCCCCGGGACGUCUGGCCUUGUCUGGGAGGAAGUUCGACUACAGGGUGUUCGCCGCCCUGCCUUCUUCCAGGCCUGUCUAUGACAUGCAGUCCCCAGAUUUUGCAGAGGAACUGAGGUCCCUGGAGCCAUCUCCCAGCCCUGGCCUGCAGGAGGAGGAUGGAGAGGUGGCCUUGGUGCUUCUGGGCAGGCCCUCACCGGACGCCGUGGGCCCCGAGGACAUGGCCCUGUGCAGCAGCCGCCGCCCCCUGCGGCCAGGGCGCCGAGGCCUGGGCCCAGUGCCCUCCUAGAGGGGUGGGUCCCUUCCCCGGACUUGGGGUGGGGGCCCUGCCAGCACCAACACCACCCUUGCCCCAAGUCUUUUAACCUGGGUGUUAGCAUUUUAGAGAUCCCUCAGGAGUUCUGGCCUUCGACUAACAGCUCCCUCCCCAGCCAGGACCUCUUGGCAAGACUGUAACUAGUGAUGUUUGUACAACCAAAGACUCUAUUUUGUGGUUUAAGGAAAAUAAAAUUGACUACGUUUUAC